UCGAGAAUCUUCGGCAAUGGGCGCAAGCCUGACCGAGCGACGCCGCGUGCGGGAUGAAGGUCUUCGGAUUGUAAACCGCUGUCGGGGGGAUGCAGAGCCCCAGAGGAAGCACGGGCUAAGUUCGUGCCAGCAGCCGCGGUAAUACGAACUGUGCGAACGUUAUUCGGAAUCACUAGGCUUAAAGGGUGCGUAGGCGGCGUGUUAAGUCAGGUGUGAAAUCCCCCGGCUCAACCGGGGAACAGCGCUUGAAACUAGCAUGCUGGAGCGAGGUAGGGGUGUGUGGAACUUCCGGUGGAGCGGUGAAAUGUGUAGAUAUCGGAAGGAACGCCGGUGGCGAAAGCGACACACUGGGCCUUGUCUGACGCUGAGGCACGAAAGCUA
rnacentral:rRNA from 1 species